rnacentral:rRNA from 1 species
GAUGAACGCUGGCGGCGUGCCUAAUACAUGCAAGUCGAGCGAACAGACGAGGAGCUUGCUCCUCUGACGUUAGCGGCGGACGGGUGAGUAACACGUGGAUAACCUACCUAUAAAACUGGGAUAACUUCGGGAAACCGGAGCUAAUACCGGAUAACAUGUUGAACCGCAUGGUUCAACAGUGAAAGACGGUUUUGCUGUCACUUAUAGAUGGAUCCGCGCCGCAUUAGCUAGUUGGUAAGGUAACGGCUUACCAAGGCAACGAUGCUUAGCCGACCUGAGAGGGUGAUCCGCCACACUGGAACUGAGACAAGGUCCAGACUCCUACGGGAGGCAGCAGUAGGGAAUCUUCCGCAAUGGGCGAAAGCCUGACGGAGCAACGCCGCGUGAGUGAAGAAGGUCUUCGGAUCGUAAAACUCUGUUAUUAGGGAAGAACAAAUGUGUAAGUAACUAUGCACGUCUUGACGGUACCUAAUCAGAAAGCCACGGCUAACUACGUG